ensembl:piRNA 21ur-2675 ncRNA
UCCGUUGUUGAUGAUUAUAAA